rnacentral:rRNA from 1 species
UACAGAGGUGGCAAGCGUUGUUCGGAAUUACUGGGCGUAAAGGGCGCGUAGGCGGCCCGUCAAGUCCCGUGUGAAAGCCCCCGGCUCAACCGGGGAACGGCGCGGGAAACUAGCAGGCUUGAGUUCGGGAGAGGGAAGCGGAAUUCCGGGUGUAGCGGUGAAAUGCGCAGAUAUCUGGAGGAACACCGGUGGCGAAGGCGGCAUCCUGGACCGGUAUUGACGCUGAGGCGCGAAAUCCAGGGGAGCAAACGGG